CUCGAAAACCAUGUUCCUCAGCCGUGGUGGGCACGGCAGCCGGCCCGUGCGCUCCUCCUCCCGCCGCCUUCCCCACGCCCCUCCCUCGAGAGUGACACGCUUCCCUGCAGAUAAGAGUUAGAGUCAGCCGGUCUGGAAACUGCUGAACACCCUCCAAGAAAUACUGGGAGUGCUGGACCCUUGACCCCUAUGCCUCCACCGAACCACUGACCUAAAAUAAAUUACAAUUACAGAUCUUUC